AACUACAUGCAAGUAUAGCAAAAGUUUGAUACACACAAUUUUAUUGUCUCGCAAAUUGAUACAAAACAGUGAAAUUGCAGAAAUAAGUACUCGAAUAAAAUAAGAAAUCUCAGUACCGUAUUGUUGGCUUUUACCCAUAUUUUGUACACUAUAGGACGGCAUUUUAAUUACCGUAUUUUUUGGAGGAACAGACGUUAUAACAUUCAGCACAUUCUGCCACAUCAUGAGAUGCAUGUUUGUAGGCAAUAUAUAUACUUAAUUUUGUGCAUUUGAUUUCCUUCAAACUUAACACAUGCCUCAGUUUUAAUAGACAACAAACUACCUGCAAUGUAAUCAUCAGCUUAUAAUCGACAGUCUCAAAUCUAAUCAGAAUCUUCCAUAAAUCUUUAGUAGUGUAGCCCUGCUCUGUGAUUCUUUUUACUUUGACCUUGGCAUUAGAACUGAUCAACCUGUUCCCUAUUGACCAGUCCAAAGAUUCGUUUGCAUGUGUAUUUGCAUCAGUAUAAGCUGUAGAUGUUAUCUUAUGUUUCAUUUCCAUAGGCCUAAAUUUUCAGGGAAAUCAUUUGGUUGCAUAUUACAUUUCAUUACCGGUACUCAAGAUAAUAGGAUUCACCCUGUUAAUACAAAUUGUUGAUUAAAAAUUGUAAAGUUUGUCCUGUAUGAUUUACUAAACCCUGUCUUAUUCAUAAAAACUAAAUUUAUAGAAAUAUGUUAUGAACUAAACUUUUUUACUAAGCCGGUUAAGAUAGAUUUGAACAAAUACAAUUAAGAUACAUUAAAGAACUGGUUUGCUGGGAGAAAUAUAUUGCGUACUUUGUUAAGAUUGAAGUGACCAUUUGGUUUAGAGAUGCAAACUAUGCCCAUUUUAGCUUUUUCUACAUAUUAGUUAUAGUAUAUUAGCAAGCUUUUAAGAUUGCAUUGUUCAAUGAAAUUUUUGUUUACAAGGUACAAGUAUUUAUUAAGUGUCAACAUUAUUGGAUUGGCCAUUUACUUCCUGUACUUGACCUAACCUUGACCAAUUCACUUAGCUCUAAACGUUAUAGCUGUACUUGGGAUUUGAAAUUUAUUGAAAUUAUCAAGGGUUGUUAUUUUAGGAUAAUUGACAUACAAUUGUAACAUAUCAUUUGGUUUUGUUGCCGGAAAAAAUCUUUUAAUAUAUCUUAAUAAUAAUUCAAUGACAAAACAUUGACCCCCUUGAAUUUUGUUAAGUAUUUGCUGUUGUACACAAAUCAUUCCUAUAUCUGUUUAUUUCUUGCUUUCUAGAAAACAGAGUUGAAGGACACCCAAGCAAAUGUAGAGUUUUAUGUACAUUUGAUGUAUACAUUAUAAACACAGUUGGUCUGUGAUUAGUUUAUUGCAUGUGAUGAACACUUGAUUAUGACAUGUUGUACAAUACCUGCUUGUUAUUUAUGUGUUGUUACAUUACUUUAUGGAGGUAAUAGUCCUCCAUUUAAAAUGUACACUGCAUUUAAUGCAGACAUUUUGUAAAAAAAUAAACACUGAACAUUU
rnacentral:sRNA from 1 species